rnacentral:rRNA from 1 species
AUUGAACGCUGGCGGCAUGCCUUACACAUGCAAGUCGAACGGUAACAGGUCUUCGGAUGCUGACGAGUGGCGAACGGGUGAGUAAUGCAUCGGAACGUGCCCAGUAGUGGGGGAUAGCCCGGCGAAAGCCGGAUUAAUACCGCAUACGACCUGAGGGUGAAAGGGGGGGAUCGCAAGACCUCUCGCUAUUGGAGCGGCCGAUGUCAGAUUAGCUAGUUGGUGGGGUAAAGGCCUACCAAGGCAACGAUCUGUAGUUGGUCUGAGAGGACUACCAGCCACACUGGGACUGAGACACGGCCCAGACUCCUACGGGAGGCAGCAGUGGGGAAUUGUGGACAAUGGGCGCAAGCCUGAUCCAGCAAUGCCGCGUGCAGGAAGAAGGCCUUCGGGUUGUAAACUGCUUUUGUCAGGGAAGAAAUCUUCUGGGUUAAUACCUCGGGAGGAUGACGGUACCUGAAGAAUAAGCACCGGCUAACUACGUGCCAGCAGCCGCAGUAAAAC